rnacentral:lncRNA from 1 species
CGGCUAUAGGCAUGCUUUAACUAUGUAUUAUGAGUUUAGGUAUGCAAUUCAAAUUCUUAUUUAGUUUAGGAAUGUUUUGGUAUGUUAAUAUUGUUUGGGUAUGUAUUUUCCAUGGCUUCAUAGUGUGGACAUGAAUAAGUCGUUUUCCGCUCCAUGUGACAUGACGGUCGACUCCAAACCUAAAAAAAUAAUAGUCGCAAUUUUUUUUUCCAUCUAUUUUUAUUAUAAUAAAAGGCCGAAGAAAAAGCCCGUACACACACACACAACACAAACCCCAGGGCCCAACACAACAUAACAGCCCAACCCAAAAAACAAAACCGACACAUGCAUCCAAAGAACAGCAAAGGUAGGCCACGUGUUGAAGCCUCAAACAACAAGGAGCAAACACGCGUUACACAGGCCCCACAUCACCACCGUCGAGAGAGCAACGCCGAAGAACUGAACGGCGUUUCACUGGUCCACACCGGGAACAUGGAGCUACGACUCAAAUCUUCAUCUCCUUGGCUUCUGUCAACGGAGAGCGUCUAUCGAAACAACUCUAGAUCUCAUCCGUAACAUGAAACCACCACACCCAUCGACUACAGAUCAAUCAUCUACACCUCGAACACCUUCUUUGCCUGAUCUCAAACCACCGGAGAACUUCAAUCGACCUAGAUCGAGAUCUCCUCCAAGACGAACAAACCAUCACAAUCAUCAAAAUCACCACAGAGCCGCUGUCGACCGAGUGAUAAAAUCGACGCGGAGACUUAAGCCGACCGUUCACCUUUGAUGAACAGGUACAACGUCGGAGUUAAAAAGCGACAGACCACCGAUAGAAAAGUACGACGCCGGAAGCAAGAACACGAAACGUAUUGACAAAAAAACAACAGCAAACAGCAAAUCCCGACCGACGACGUGUCUGUGUAAGCCCACCGUCGUCGGCCAGAAAAACGAUCGGAAUCUCUUGCCUUUUAGUGAGAAGAUGGAGGAUUUCUAGAGAUGUAUAAUUAUUGUAAAUAAUAGUCACAAGUUAGAUAUAUGUAAAACAAAUUAUGUAAAGUAUAAAAAUUAAAAAGUAUUUGGCUACUGAUCGGGUUCAAGACAUCAAAACCUUCUUAUCCCGGCUGGGCAAAAAGAUCUUUGACGGUAUAUCAAGUGUAAGGAGUAUCUGAGGAAACUAUCAAAUCUUGAUUAACUCCGGCUACAGGGGUAGGAAGUGCAUCUGGACCAGCAGGGGGAGCAACCGGUGCUGCAGUGGGAGAAACCAGAGGUGCAGCAAGAGGAUGCGGUGGUGGAGCUCUCUGGGACGACUAUGAGCUAAAGACUACUCCAGAGCCAAAGAUGGACCCAAUGAUUUAGAAGUGCCAACAUGUCAUGUGCCGAACGUCUCACUAUAAUGUAGACGGUUUAGUCAUCUAUUUCUAGGAGUCCUCUACAAAAGAAAAGACAAUUCAAAUUAAAAGAAAUUUAAAAACCAACAAUUUCUAAUUCUGCAACUUAAUAUUUUACAAUGAAUAUUCUCUUAUGUGGUAAUUCGUCGUAAU